UUCAUUUCAUAGUCCCUCGACAAUGCACUUUUUGGAAAAAUUGCUAAAUAGUAAUAGGAUUAGUAUUCUUCUUUGUACCUUGGAAUAUCCUGCGAUUAUUCUCAAGCCCAGGGGCGGACCCACAUGGAGUCAAGAGGGUUCAUAUGAACCCACUUCAUCGCAAAAUAAUACCGUGUAUGUAGUUCAAUUUCAAAGAACAUUGCUUCAUAGUCGUCUCCACCAUUAGCCAUAAGCCACUGCCGCUUCUUGAAUCUCGUUGGGUCGCCUCUCUCCGUCUCUCGCCGUCAGCCCGUCAAUUGUCACUAUCAGUUUUGACAUAAACAAGAUAUUGAUGAUGGCUGAAUUGUAUCCUGACGAUUUUGAUGAGAAUAUAAUGGUUACGCUCAAGAAUCAACAUGAAACUUAUAUUGUUAAUAUUCGUGAUGUUGAUGAAAGGUUCUCAAAUCUACAAGGACUUGUUGAUCUUUCUGAAACACUAGUUAAGACAAAGAAGCAUUUGAAUUAUCCAUUUGUGUUUCGCCUUGUGAAAUUUGCUUUGCUUCUACCAGUUGCCACUGCUACAGUUGAAAGAACU